AGUAACUCUAGAGCUAAUACAUGCAUUCAUCCCCGACUUCUUGGAAGGGGUGUACUUAUUAGAUGGAAACCAAUGCGGGGCAACCCGGAAUCUGGUGAUUCAUAAUAAUUUUCGGAUCGAUCGUACGAUCGAUGCAUCAUUCAAGUUUCUGCCCUAUCAGCUUUGGAUGGUAGGGUAUUGGCCUACCAUGGCAUUAACGGGUAACGGAGAAUUAGGGUUCGGUUCCGGAGAGGGAGCCUGAGAAAUGGCUACCACAUCCAAGGAAGGCAGCAGGCGCGUAAACUACCCAAUCCUGACACAGGGAGGUAGUGACAAUAAAUAACAAUGCCGGGGUUUUUCAACUCUGGUAAUUGGAAUGAGUACAAUCUAAACCCCUUAACGAGGAUCAAUUGGAGGGCAAGUCUGGUGCCAGCAGCCGCGGUAAUUCCAGCUCCAAUAGCGUAUAUUUAAGUUGUUGCAGUUAAAAAGCUCGUAGUUGGAUUUCGGGCGGGCUCGGCUGGUCCGCCUAUCGGUGUGCACUGACCGAGCCCGUCUUGUUGCCGGGGACGGGCUCCUGGGCUUAACUGUCCGGGACUCGGAGUCGGCGAGGUUACUUUGAGUAAAUUAGAGUGUUCAAAGCAGGCCUACGCUCUGAAUACAUUAGCAUGGAAUAACACGAUAGGACUCUGGCCUAUCUUGUUGGUCUGUGGGACCGGAGUAAUGAUUAAGAGGGACAGUCGAGGGCAUUCGUAUUA
rnacentral:rRNA from 1 species